rnacentral:lncRNA from 1 species
CGCGUACGCUCCGCGGUUGAAGAUAUUCUUUCUGUGCCCGCGAAUAUUCCGGCAACGGUCGGAAAACCGAGGGAAGUGACACAAGGCGUGUAGUGCGGUUGCGUGGCGUGACAACUCGGGGAAGGAACAGCAGGGCGAAACAUUUUCCCAUUUCCCAGCGAACGAGAGGCUGAUGGCCACCAGCAUUCCAGGUAUGAAUCGCUCUCUCCUUACCUGUGAUGUGCAAGCACUCCAGAGGUAGACACAUGCACCCAGCCCCACGCUGAGCACGUUGGUUGAUGACCAGUCCACCAGGUUCAGAUAGAAGUCAUCCUGGAGCUCGGGCGCAUCCAGUACCUGUGGACAUGGCAGAGAAGUUGCAUAGAAGACCAGUUUUGCAAGAAACAGGCCGCAAGCCAUAAUGAUGCUCAAUGAUCCUUGUGGCACACGCAAAAGGUGCCACAUCUGCAAGCCUUCUGAAUUUCACUCACCUUAGCAUCUUCUAUACCGGCUCCCAGUAGCUCAUUUUUGAUCA